UUUUAAUGACACUGUUAAUGAUUGGAGUGAUGAAUUGCAGUGUGGCAUUGGUAUCCACAUCUCCAUGGGGCACAGCAUGAGGCACUAACUAGGAAGCAGAGGCUUAAAGGGCAGACCUCCAUGUUUAGCCAGGCAGACUCAACCCAUACUGGGAAAGGUGUCCCAGACCCCAAAUCCCAUGUUUCAUACACCAAAAAUGCCCACAGGACAGCAAGAUGUUGUGGAAUGCAUGAACUGAGGGGUAGAAAACUCCAGCUGAGCAAUGUGAGACUGCAGUGUGUGCCAACACAUUGUAUCUCCAUCCCAAUUCAUCUUCUAAACACACUGCAUCCAUUCCAACACAUUGUAUUUCCAUCCCAACACGCUGUAUCUCCAUCCCAACACACUACAGCUCCAACCCAACACACUGUAUCUUCAUGCCAACACACUGCAGUUCCAUCCCAACACACUGUAUCUCCAUCCCAACACUCUACAGUUCCAUCCCAGCAUACUUUUUCCCAUGAAAUGCAUGGGGUAAGCAGUAGCUGUCCCAGCCAUAUUGUUCCUUAGUGUAAAGAGUAUCCCAAUCUCUAAGGAACACCCCUGGUGAGAUAUAUGGUCCCCACGGAGGAUGAUUGGAGACUGUGGGCAUCAGUGUUUCCUGGGACACACGGAUCAGACCUACUCAGGAGAAGGAAAACUGGAGUUUUUGCUGGAGAAAAGGGUAAGCAGCUGAUGUUGAAAUUAAUUAUUUCAUGAUAUGGCCUUGAUUUGUGCACAGCUCUGGAAGGUGCAAAAGUAGUAUUUGUCUAAGAAGCAUGUUGAGCUGCCAGAGCCCUCAGCCACCUGUUAAGGUGUCAGAUGUGGAGGUACCACCAGCAUCCACCUUUCCACAUGACUUUCCUCCUCACAUCUUCCAUCUUCCCAUCAAAUAAAAGUUAUUCCUCUCCGCUCAGCCAGUGUGGAAGCUCUGAGCCACCAUUCUGGGGAUGAAUUGGGUCCCUGAGUCUCUCAUGGGACCUGCUGGGAGAUGUCCCCAGGGCUGUCCCCACAGCAGGGUUGGGUUGUGUGGCAGUGCAUUGCCCUCUGCAGGUCACAGCAAUCCUACAGCAUCCCUGCAUGCUGUGUUAUGCCUUCCCCUCCGUCCACCAGGAAACAUGGAAUCAUAGAAUAUCCCAAGUUGAAAGGGACCCAUAAUGAUCAUUGAGUCCAACUCCUGGCUCCACACAAAC
rnacentral:lncRNA from 1 species